rnacentral:piRNA from 1 species
UUAAAGGAGGGUGACUUUGCCUCAGCCUCU